UCAGGAUGAACGCUAGCGGCAGGCUUAACACAUGCAAGUCGAGGGGCAGCGGGAUGUAGCAAUACAUUGCCGGCGACCGGCGGAUGGGUGCGUAACGCGUAUGCAACCUACCUUAUACAGGGGAAUAACCUUUCGAAAGGGAGACUAACACCCCAUAGUAUUGAUUUAAGGCAUCUUAGAUUAAUUAAAUAUUUAUAGGUAUAAGAUGGGCAUGCGUAUGAUUAGCUAGUUGGUAAGGUAACGGCUUACCAAGGCGACGAUCAUUAGGGGUCUGAGAGGAAGGUCCCCCACACUGGUACUGAGACACGGACCAGACUCCUACGGGAGGCAGCAGUGAGGAAUAUUGGUCAAUGGGCGCAAGCCUGAACCAGCCAUGCCGCGUGCAGGAAGACGGCCUUAUGGGUUGUAAACUGCUUUUACAUAAGACUAACCGUAUAUUUGCGAAUAUACCUGAAUGUAUUAUGAGAAUAAGGAUCGGCUAACUCCGUGCCAGCCGCGGC
rnacentral:rRNA from 1 species